UACGUAGGGUGCAAGCGUUGUCCGGAAUUAUUGGGCGUAAAGAGCUCGUAGGCGGUUUGUUGCGUCGGCUGUGAAAUCCCGAGGCUCAACCUCGGGUCUGCAGUCGAUACGAGCAAACUAGAGUGCGGUAGGGGAGACUGGAAUUCCUGGUGUAGCGGUGGAAUGCGCAGAUAUCAGGAGGAACACCGAUGGCGAAGGCAGGUCUCUGGGCCGCAACUGACGCUGAGGAGCGAAAGCAUGGGGAGCGAACAGG
rnacentral:rRNA from 1 species